rnacentral:snRNA from 1 species
ACACUUACCUGGCAAGGGUGAUACCAGAAUCAUGAAGGUGGUUUUCCCCAGGGCAAGGUUUAUCCAUUGCAUGCUAGGAUCCAUGCUGAUCCCCAUGACUUUCCCAAAUGUGGAAAAUUCGACUGCAUAAUUUGUGGCUGUGGGGACUGCAUUUGCACUUUCCCCU